GCGGCAGCUUACCAUGCAGUCGAGCGGAACGAUGGUAGCUUGCUACCAGGCGUCGAGCGGCGGACGGGUGAGUAAUACUUAGGAAUCUACCUAGUAGUGGGGGAUAGCACGGGGAAACUCGUAUUAAUACCGCAUACGACCUACGGGAGAAAGGGGGCAGUUUACUGCUCUCGCUAUUAGAUGAGCCUAAGUCGGAUUAGCUAGAUGGUGGGGUAAAGGCCUACCAUGGCGACGACCUGUAGCUGGUCUGAGAGGAUGAUCAGCCACACCGGGACUGAGACACGGCCCGGACUCCUACGGGAGGCAGCAGUGGGGAAUAUUGGACAAUGGGGGAAACCCUGAUCCAGCCAUGCCGCGUGUGUGAAGAAGGCCUUUUGGUUGUAAAGCACUUUAAGCAGUGAAGAAGACUCUUCGGUUAAUACCCGGAGACGAUGACAUUAGCUGCAGAAUAAGCACCGGCUAACUCUGUGCCAGCAGCCGCGGUAA
rnacentral:rRNA from 1 species